AUGAUUCUUGUAGUGCACAGAAAAAACUUGGCGCUAGGCCCAUCGGAUCUAGAUCCACAAAGAGUUUUUUUUCUUCUGUUUGCAAGGAAGGUUGUGCCAAAAACAAAGAAUGAGCAUCUGGAAUGGUGGUGCUCGGCCCAUCAACCUACAAGAUUGAUCCAUCACCAAAUUAUCCAAUUAGUUUUCAAUUAUUGA